CCCACGCCCUGUGGAAGGACAAACACAGCGUCAUCCACAGACGUUGCCCAUGGGUCCAGUCCAUCCAUCGGUGACUUAUGGGCAAAAGGGAAGGAAGGAAAGGAAAGAAGAUUGGAGGAGUAGAAGUGGACCCAGACCUUGAGGAGCCUAAAAUUUUUCUGCAGAGGCAGGCGGGACCUGAUAUGGCAAGUGAACAUCAAGGCCUGCCUUGCCUCACAGGGCAGCUGGGGACCAACCCAUACGAAUCCAACAUGCGGAGGAAGCCAGAGCCGGAGCAGGAGGCAGAGACCUGAGGAUGGGCUGGAGCCUGUGUGCGGGGCUUUCUGUCACUUGCAGAGUCCUGGCUGGUACACUGAGGAGCACUAGCUUGUAUGGCAUUCUUUCCAUGAUUGGAGUUCAACGAUGGGAGACCAGGGAGAUGGAGUAGUUUGAGCUCCUGGGGAAUGAUAACAUCUGGAUCCUGAGAGGGGAGGAAAAGCAAACGCCAGCAAUGACAUAGGAUCAGAAAGCUCAUCUGCCAGGGAGGCACUACUUCAGCCAGAAGACCGCCUGGAGGACUUCAUGGGGCUUCAGAACCCAGGGCACUCCUGCCACAUGUUAUCAAUGACUUUGCAGUAUUGUGAUAGUGUGUGAUACCACCCGUCAUAUGCAGUAACAAGGAGGGAGACUGACCGAACUUUGAAGGCAUCCUUCCUGUUAGAAUUUCAACUACCUCCAUAUCUAGUACAGGAGAGGGAAGUAAAUGCAGUGGAAAUCUGAUUUUUUUUUUCACUCUGUUCCCCAGGCUGGAGGGCAGUGGCACAAUCUCGGCUCACUGCAACCUCCGUCUCCUAGGUUCAAACGAUUCUCCUACCUCAGCCUCCCGGGUAGCUGGGAUUACAGGCAUGUGCCACCAUGCCCGGCUAAUUUUGUAUUUUUAGUAGAGAUGAGGUUUCUCCAUGUUGGUCAGGCUGGUCUCGAACUCCUGACCUCAGGUGAUCCAUCCGCCUUGGCCUCCCAAAGUGCUGGGAUUACAGGCAUGAGCCACCACACCUAGUCCCUGAUUUUGUUUUAUCGGCAAAUUCACUGUUGAGGGUUGGAGCAGCCUGUGAUAUCCGUGUGAGUCCAUUUGUGAAACUGAAACUUUGUAACAAGAACUAAGAUAGUUAUUGAGAAGUGCUUUGAAAAUGAUCCAAGGAAGCUUUCCAAAGUGACUCUGUCCCUGGGAAGGGAGGAAGGGACCACAAUAUGCCUGUAUCAGAUUUCUACUGCUGUGUAACAAAUGACCCCAAAACUUAGUGGCUUGAAACAACAAUGAACAUUUAUUAUUUCAUAGUUUCUGUGGGUCAGGAAUUCAGGAGUGGCUUAGCUGGGUGGUUCUGGCUCAGGGAUUUCAUGGGGUUGCAGUCAGGGUAUCAGCUGGGGUUGUGUCAUUAGAGGCUGAACUGGGGCUGGAGGAUUUACCUCUGAGGUGGUGCACCCACAUGCCUGGCAGGUUGGUGCUGGCUGUUGGUGGGAGGCCUCAGUUUCCCACCACAUGGACUCCUCUACAGAGCUGCUUAAGUGUCCUUACAACAUGGCAGUUGGCUGCUCCCGAGGAAGUGAUUCAAGGAGAGCAAGGCAGGAACCAUGUCUUUUAUGGCCUAGCCUUGGACAUCAUUUCUGCAGUCCUACUGGUUGCCAGAUGGGUCCUAUUCAGUGAAGAGGGGACUCUCCAGGAUGUGACUACUGGGGCUCACUGGGCAGCAUCUCAGAGCUGCCACCAUGCUGCUGCGUGGUUGGCCCAUCUGGAACACUUAGUCUUCAGUCACUUGGUUUGAUUCAAGAACAAAGAGUUAGAAACUCUUCACCUUUUGAAUGCAAGGAAGUAGGCUGACCCCUCAAAGUGUGCCAGACAAGCCAUUUUAAGCAUAGUUGGGUGAGAUGCAAAGAGGAAGCCUGCAUAUUCGCUGCUUACGUGAAAUGUUUGGCGCCUACUCAUGCUUUCUAUCCACAGAGUCUCACUGAUAGUUUGUCAGCCUUGCAUCCCAUCUGCCCCAUGUGGGUCCUGUGAAGCUGCUGGUCAACCUAUCCCCUGGCUUUGGGGGAAUGCAACCCAUGUCUGGCCAACUGUGGUGCCCCAUUUCCCAGUCUAGAGUUGUUGGUCCAAGAGGAGGCUCUCUCUUACUCUGAAAUCAUGAGCUGAGGGUUUACUGUGUAUGCCUGAAGCUAUCAGACAAUGAAGAAAGAAGAGAGAGAAAGAGAGAGAUUUGAGCACCUGGGUCCAGCUAUGACUGAAGCUAGCAAGACACCCAUCUUUGUUCUCUGAAAUUAUGUAAGAAAGUAAACUCCCUUUUUGGAAUUUUGCUUGUUUACUUUUGCUUAAGUUAACUUGAGCUGGAAUUUCAUCAUCACAAUUAAAAACAUCCUAACAACUUAUCCCUUGAAAAUCAUGUGCUUUGCGCCCAGCCAGCCGCCCCGUCAGGGAGGGAGGUGGGGGGGUCAGCCCCCCGCCAGGCCA
rnacentral:lncRNA from 10 species